AAAAAGACAAGCUUUGGAUUUCCGUAUCCAACGUUUCACCAUCCAUUUUAUUUAAAAAAAAUAUAAAAAAAUUAAAAAGACAAGUCACGUAUAAAAUAUUAAUCAUGUUUUAUCAUCUAACAACAAUGAAAAUACUAAUUAUAAAAAAUUUUAUAUAAGACGGACAGUCAAACGUUGGAUACGAAAACUUAUGAUUUGUUUUUAUG
rfam:Oryza nivara chromosome 3, whole genome shotgun sequence.